UACGUAGGGUGCAGGCGUUAAUCGGAAUUACUGGGCGUAAAGCGUGCGCAGGCGGUUUGCUAAGACAGGUGUGAAAUCCCCGGGCUUAACCUGGGAACUGCGCUUGUUACUGGCAAGCUGGAGUGUGGCAGAGGGGGGUGGAAUUCCACGUGUAGCAGUGAAAUGCGUAGAGAUGUGGAGGAACACCGAUGGCGAAGGCAGCCCCCUGGGCUGAGAUUGACGCUCAGGCACGAAAGCGUGGGGAGCAAACAGG
rnacentral:rRNA from 1 species